AGAAAAGAGAAGUAGAGCCGGGAUGCCAGAGCAGCGUUGGUCACCGCAGGGGGAUAGAGAACCCUGAGAUUAGAAGCAAGAAGCUUAUUGCCCCGCUUGCUCAAAAGCCUCAGGAAAGGAGACAGAGCAAGUCUAAAGGUUUUGGACUUGGAAGGAACCUGCCUCCUCCUGGCCCUGUGACCUUGAGAUCCACAGAAGUACAGAAGCAGCACAAAACAGCUGAAAGAAAGUAUGCUUCUUUAUCGAAAGCCAAAGGAUGCGACCAACUUCUAGCAUAUGGAACCAUUUCCACACUGCAAGUUAUUCUGAGAGAGAAAUGCGAUUUGCAAAUACUGUCAGAUGAAAUAUGCAUUUCCAAAAGCUACUAGGAUGACCAAACACAUCCUUGUAUGUAAGAAGUGCCCUGCAGACAUUAAAAAAAAUCCUUCAUGGGUGUAAGUGAGGAGGAGGUAGAUCAUGAUGAUGAAAAUGCAAGUAGCUCUUUCCAACGUUCUCAAUCCAGAAGUCCUCCUCCUCUAACAUCAGCAUCACAAAGGGUUGCUCAAUCAACAUCCCCAAGUAACCAAAUAUUGCAACCGACUGUAUACAAAAGACUCUCAAUAGCUUCAUUUGUAGACAAGAUGUCACCUGAAGAUCAGGACAAAAUUGACCAAGCUCUUGCAAGAGCAAUAUAUUCUUCUGGGAUGCCAUUGUCAAAAACUGACAAUGCACACUGGCGGGAAGCUUUUAAAUUACUAAAACUAUCAUACCAUUUGCCUAGCAGACAUUCUUUCAGCAAGCUUCUUUUAGAGUCAGAAUAUGAACGUGUAAUGCAAUCUGUGCAAGGUAAAAAUCAACGAAACACUGUCUUGCAGCAUGCGCAGAUGGAUGGACAAACAUGCGGGGAGAAGAAAUCAUAAUCUCUGUGAUAACAACACCUCAGCCAGUUUUUUACAGAAGCAUUGAAACAGGAGAGAACAGGAAUACUGCAG